rnacentral:rRNA from 1 species
AUGGCGAUGGCGAUGGAGACGGCGACGGGUUUCUCUGGCGACGGCGACGGCGACGGGUUGAGGGCUACGGGGACGCCGCGGCGAGGAGGGGCAGGUGCUGCGGAGACGGCGCGGCGAGGUGGGGCAGUGGCGGUUGUGCGGCGAGGCGGGGCAGGUGCUGCGGAGACGUCGCGCGGCGAGGCGGGGCAGUGGCGUCGCGGGCGAGGAUGGAGGACGCCGGAGCAGAGGACGACAGCUCCCGCCGUCGCUUCUGUCCGCGCACGCCCGCGUGCUCGCCUCCGUCCGCGCCUGCGCCGGAGCGCUGCUUUCUGCGCGCGCCCGCGUGCUCGCCUCCGUCCGCGCCCUUCAGCUCGCCUCUGCCCGCCACGCCCUUCAGCUCGCCUCCGUCCGCGUCCUGCCGCGUCCCAACCGCGCCGGGAGACCGCCUCUGCCUGCCGCGCUUGCCUUUGCUCAUGCCCUGCCGGACGGAAAGAGAAGGGAGAGGUGAGGUGCGGCGGUGUCCUGCUGCUGCUCGCUGGUGGCAUUCCGGCCAUAGGCGCGAGGUGGGGGCUCUGUCCGGCGGUUUCCCAGGACAUCUACUACCGGAAGGCCAAGGAGGAGGGGUGGAGGGCUCGCAACGCCUUCAAGCUCAUGCAGAUCGACCAGGAGUUCAACAUCUUCCACGGAGUGAAGCGUGCCGUUGACCUGUGCGCUGCUCCUGGGAGCUGGAGCCAGGUAUUCACAUGCUCGGUUCCCCCCAUCCAUGCUUGCAUCCCUUUGAUCAAUUGCUUAUCUCAAUCGCAAUUGCAGAUUUUGAGCCGCAAUUUCUUUGUAUCUACCGGCAAAGCUAUCAUCUAA